rnacentral:rRNA from 1 species
GAGGGGAAGUUCCGCCGGGAAGUUGGCGUCUAAGAGAG